rnacentral:misc_RNA from 1 species
GAGGAGAAACCUCAAGAACCGGCGUCUAAAGAGAGACCUGAAGAAGCGGCAGCUAAAGAAACAGCUGAAGAGCUAGCAAAGGAGGAAGCACCUGAAGAACUAGCACUUGAAGAGAAACCUGAAGAAUCAACAGUUGAAGAGACACCUGAAGAACUAGUUCUGGAAGAGAAAGAUGAAAAAACAGCUAUUAAAGAGAAGGAACUUGUUAGAAAAGCUCUUCAGGAGAAGAAAUUGUCGAUUGUAAACGCAGAGGAUAAUAUAGACAAUGCAAUUCCAUGCAAU